GACAGAACCGUGCGAACGUUAUUCGGAAUCACUGGGCUUAAAGCGCGUGUAGGCGGCCCGGCACGUCAGUCGCUGAAAUCCCCCGGCUCAACCGGGGAAGUGGCGUUGAUACGACCGGGCUGGAGGGGGGUAGGGGGGACGGGAACUCACGGUGGAGCGGUGAAAUGCGUUGAGAUCGUGAGGAACGCCCGCGGCGAAAGCGCGUCCCUGGACCCCACCUGACGCUGAGACGCGAAAGCCAGGGGAGCGAACGGG
rnacentral:rRNA from 1 species